UACGAAGGGGGCUAGCGUUGCUCGGAAUCACUGGGCGUAAAGGGUGCGUAGGCGGGGCUUUAAGGCAGGGGUGAAAUCCUGGAGCUCAACUCCAGAACUGCCUUUGAUACUGAAGAUCUUGAGUUCGUGAGAGGUGAGUGGAACUGCGAGUGUAGAGGUGAAAUUCGUAGAUAUUCGCAAGAACACCAGUGGCGAAGGCGGCUCACUGGCCCGAUACUGACGCUGAGGCACGAAAGCGUGGGGAGCAAACAGG
rnacentral:rRNA from 1 species